rnacentral:tRNA from 1 species
GUCGGGAUAGCUCAGUCGGUAGAGCAGAGGACU